rnacentral:rRNA from 1 species
UACGGGGGGGGCAAGCGUUGUUCGGAAUUACUGGGCGGAAAGGGCUCGUAGGUGGCCAACUAAGUCAGACGUGAAAUCCCUCGGCUUAACCGGGGAACUGCGUCUGAUACUGGAUGGCUUGAGAUUGGGAGAGGGAUGCGGAAUUCCAGGUGUAGCGGUGAAAUGCGUAGAUAUCUGGAGGAACACCGGUGGCGAAGGCGGCAUCCUGGACCAACACUGACACUGAGGAGCGAAAGCCAGGGGAGCAAACGGG